UACGUAGGCAGCAAGCGUUGUUCGGAAUUACUGGGCGUAAAGAGUGUGUAGGCGGUGCUCUAAGUCUGUUGUGAAAUCUCCCGGCUUAACCGGGAGGGUGCGGCGGAAACUGGAGUGCUUGAGGGUGGGAGAGGUAAGCGGAAUUCCUGGUGUAGCGGUGAAAUGCGCAGAUAUCAGGAGGAACACCGGUGGCGAAGGCGGAUCUCUGGGCCUUACCUGACGCUGAGGCGCGAAAGCUAGGGGAGCGAACAGG
rnacentral:rRNA from 1 species